UACGUAGGGGGGCGAGCGUUUGUCCGGAUUUAUUGGGCGUAAAGAGCUCGUAGGCGGUUUGGUAAGUCACGGGUGAAAUCUCCACGCUCAACGUGGAGGCGCCCCCGUGAGACUGGCUAUGACUAGAGUCCGGUAGAGGAGUGUGGAAUUCCCGGUGUAGCGGUGAAAUGCGCAGAGAUCGGGAGGAACACCCGUAGCGAAGGCGGCACUCUGGGCCGGUACUGACGCUCAGG
rnacentral:rRNA from 1 species